rnacentral:rRNA from 2 species
GAUGAACGCUGGCGGCGCGCCUAACACAUGCAAGUCGAACGGUUAAAGCACCUUUUAGGUGUGUAUAAAGUGGCGAACGGCUGAGUAACACGUGGGCAACCUGCCCUCCUCUUGGGGAUAGCCUCGGGAAACCGAGGAUAAUACCCGAUACUUCAAUGUGGCCGCAUGACGACAUUGAGAAAGCUUUUGCGGAGAAGGAUGGGCCCGCGGCCUGUUAGCUUGUUGGUGGGGUAGAGGCCUACCAAGGCAAUGAUGGGUAGCUGGGUUGAGAGACCGACCAGCCAGAUUGGGACUGAGACACGGCCCAGACUCCUACGGGAGGCAGCAGUGGGGAAUCUUGCACAAUGGGCGAAAGCCUGAUGCAGCGACGCCGCGUGCGGGAAGAAGGCCUUCGGGUUGUAAACCGCUUUCAGCAGGGACGAGGCGAAAGUGACGGUACC